rnacentral:rRNA from 1 species
GAUGAACGCUGGCGGCGUGCUUAACACAUGCAAGUCGAACGGAAAGGCCCAAGUUUGCUUGGGUACGCGAGUGGCGAAGGGGUGAGUAACACGUGGGUGAUCUGCCCUGCACUGCGGGAUAAGCCUGGGAAACUGGGUAUAAUACCGGAGAGGACCACAGGAAGGAGGGGGUGGUGGAAAGUUCUUCGGUGUGGGAUGAGCGAGCGUCCUAUCAGCUGGUUGGUGGGGUAAUGGCCUACCAAGGCGUCGACGGGUAGCCGGCCGGAGCGGGUGUACGGCCACAUUGGGUCUGCGAGACGGCCCAGACGCCUACGGGAGGCAGCGGUGGGGAAUAUUGCACAAUGGGCGCAAGCCUGAUGCAGCGACGCCGCUUGUGGGAUGCCGGCCUUCGGGUUGUAAACUCCUUUCGCUAGGGACGAAGCGCAAGUGACUGUCCCUGGAGAAGACGCACCGGCUAACUACG